CCACAAAUUAGGCAAUAAGUAUAUAUCAAAUUAAAAGAGAUUCUUACCUAAUAUUCGGCGUCACGUGAACCACGUUAUCAAGUUCGGUCGAACGUUGGAUGGCAGGACGACUCACGGGCGGCAGUUCAAGAUGACGUGCUGCUCAAAGAUGCUGCCUCGCUCGGUAAGCAACAGCAAAUUUCGAGUGGUGACUGAUGCUUCGCUGAUUCAGCUUAGCAAAGUGGACGAGGAUGACCAGCACAGCAGGGGACGUCCACCAGAAGACUUGAACAGCAAAAAGGAGGGUUGUUGGCGUGAAGAUUUGAACGUCCAGGGCCGGUCACCAAUGUAACUCAGAUGUGCGCAAGUAACACUGGGACUCGCGGGAACCUGAAAAUAAAGCACAAAAGAUCGCCAACUCGGUGGGGUAGCGUUCAACGAUGAGAAUCGACGAGCCAGGGAGCAACGGCGCCAGCACACAGCAACAACGAAACCAAAGCAGCAGCGUAGUCAAGCACAGCAGCUCGAACACGAUUGACUUUUCAGGCGGCACGCGUGCAAGGAACAGCUUGGUUGUUGUCGAUGGCUCAACAGGGCAACAACACGAUACGGUGAUGUUGGUGACAGAGGCACGGGCACAGGUCUGGCUGUGAAGUGGGCACCGGUUUGGACGAUCACCUCGGCCAAGAGCUGGUCGAGGUUUCCCUCUCUCUGCUCUCUCUCAUGUGUGUUCUCUGUAUAUUUCGGAGUCGCCCCCCUUUUGUCCCGUAAUGAGUCAAUUUAUAUUGAAAGGGCGUAAACCAAUGAGGAAAGAAAGCAUAUUCUGUUUCCUUCUGGGCAUGCGUUGAAAUAUAUUUUCUUUGCUUUCCUCUUUAUUGAUCGAAUGCCGAUAUAUAUUUUUUCGCAAAUCCAUGCCCGCAAUGCAGAACGUGCCCAACAUUCCCUUCUCAUGCUGAUCUUUCGAAUUUCCUUUGUGCAUAUUAUACGAAUCGGACCAGAUAAAUUCUUUCCUCUUAAAAUAAUGAUGGUCAAUUUCUUGCUCCCCACGUUGACCGAAUUAUGGCUAAACGCAUAAUUUUCCUUCACGUGGAUGGGCUUCUCCAUGUGCGAAUCGGUGGCCGCUUACACGCUGUCCUUCCUUUGCAUUCGUUCCCUUAAAUGCACAAAUAUGUCGGUGCCAAUAUGCUGGAAAUUUCUUAAUCAGCUUUAACGAUUUAGGGCACCCAUGUAAAUGUAAUAUCAAUCACCACGGAGGAAUUACUCACUUAUCCAAAGUUUAAAGCCAUCCAUUCACCACCGGCCCAAGAAAUAUGCAAUUAAAUGAAAU
rnacentral:lncRNA from 1 species